rnacentral:lncRNA from 1 species
UUAUUUUUACAAUUCUAUAAGAGUUAAAAAUCGUACUAUUGGUAUAAGUAGAUAAUGAACUCUGUAUUUAUAGAGUGAUAAAACCAUUUAUUACAUGGAAAGAGAAGAAAUAUGGUUAAAUUUGUAAAGUUUGUUUAUGUCAAGAUUAUCAUAUUUUCUCUAUUUUUUGCUGGUACAAACAUUGAAUGUUCUUGUAAGUCAUUUAUAUCCUUUUCAAAUUUUAUUAUUUAGAUUUUACACAAUACUUUAACUAACAUAAUUUAUAUUACUUUAUCAUCUUUUAUCCUUACAGCGUUCUAUCCUGCUAUGCAUUGUUCUAGUGAUUCGGAUUGUCCUCCACAUAGGUGUCGAAAUUCUCUGAUACCAAAAUGUGUCAGAAAAUGGUGUAAAUGUGUACCAAAAGAUGAUUUUAUAUUUUCAUAAUUUUGUACUUUCUUCUAUUUAAAAUGAAUUUUGUUUAUUAAUGAAGUUUGUUUAAUAUUUUCCUAUAUAGAUUAAAAAAUAUAAUAAUAUUUAUUAUAUGAUAUUAUAUUUUUAUUAAAUUAAUUUU